AUUGAACGCUGGCGGCAGGCCUAACACAUGCAAGUCGAGCGAGCGGCGGACGGGUGAGUAAUGUAUGGGGACUGCCCGAUAGAGGGGGAUAACUACUGGAAACGGUGGCUAAUACCCCAUACUGUCGGAUAACCCAUAUGGUAUUAGCUAGUAGGUAAGGUAAUGGCUUACCUAGGCGACGAUCCCUAGCUGGUCUGAGAGGAUGAUCAGCCACACUGGGACUGAGAAACGGCCCAGACUCCUACGGAGGCAGCAGUGGGGAAUAUUGCACAAUGGGCGAAAGCCUGAUGCAGCCAUGCCGCGUGUAUGAAGAAGGCCUUAGGGUUGUAAAGUACUGUCAGUAGGGAGGCGGUACCGACAGAAGAAGCACCGGCUAACUCCGUGCCAGCAGCCGCGGUAAUAC
rnacentral:rRNA from 1 species